UACGUAGGGGGCAAGCGUUGUCCGGAUUUAUUGGGCGUAAAGCGCGUGUAGGCGGCCACGCAGGUCCGCUGUGAAAACUCGAGGCUCAACCUCGAGCUGUCGGUGGAAACCGCGUGGCUAGAGUGCGGUAGGGGGAGACUGGAAUUCCUGGUGUAGCGGUGAAAUGCGCAGAUAUCAGGAGGAACACCGGUGGCGAAGGCGCCACUCUGGGCCGGUACUGACGCUGAGGAGCGAAAGCGUGGGUAGCAAACAGG
rnacentral:rRNA from 1 species